AUUCACUACAUUCAACAAUCUUAGCCUGCAUGGCUUUUUAUGCUGCUUCUGACCUGAUUUUCCAAAGUCUAUUCCUCCCAGCUUAGCACCCACCCCAUGUGAUCCAGCCUCCCUAAAUAAAGUUGUAUUUGCUGUGAGAGCUGAGCCUGUGUGGAUCACACCCAGCCUGCAGCACAACUCCCAGCUUGAGGAUCACGUCAUCAGCAUCCCAUUCACUUAGCUGGCCGAGGAGCAGCCAAGACUCUGCAGGGUGAAUCUGCCCCAGUAACAAGCACAGUAAGGUCUGGGAAACAAAUUAAACUUUUUCAUACAAGCAGUGGGAAACAGUUUUAAUGAUGGUCAACCAGUGUGACAUACUUGGAAACCUUGAUGGUGGGAUUUUUUUUAACUUCUAAUAUUAGCAUUUUUUUUCUAUCCAGCCAACAACUUUUUUACAUGGCACCAGACUUCAGCUACUAUCCCUUCAUUUUCAUGGAUAUUGUAUCUUUAUAAGGGUCCUGAACCAAGUUUAAGGAUGACGAUAUUGUACCUAAACAAAUCCUCACGCUGCUGAAGUUCCUUUUGCUAAAUGGAUAUUUACAGCGUUCCUUCCUUCUACAUUAAAUUACACUUUUCUUCAGAUGAUGAAAUUUCUUGUUAAAAUCUGAAGAACACUACUGUGAUGGUGCUAAGUACAAUCUCACAUUGUUUACAACAUAGAGAGUUUCCUGUAACUGGGCAGUAGACUAUCACACUGGGCAUCACAAGGAUCACCAAAAUAUAGAAAAAAAUGUAAGAUUAUAGGUCAAAUUUUCAAAGAUUAUAGAAUCUUGUUUAAAAAACAAAUAUCCAAUGAAGCCCACAUCCGAAUUACUUCCUUCUCCAGUAUAUUCGACUGAGUUUGAUUCUGUGAUUAAUCAAAAUGUUACAGGCAACAUGGACGCAAUACUUCUAGAUGGUGCUUUGUCAUCCAUUGUUGUCCUGAUCAUGGUGCUGUCUAUUAUUUGCACCUUGGUGGUGAUGUCACUACUGACUUAUUGCUUUCAUAAGUGGAAGCUGCGAGCAAGAAAACUGCAGAGGGCCCAGGAAGAAUAUCAGAAAGACCAAGAGAAGAACAUGUCUCCCUGCAAGUCUUGACUGUACAAGCAUCUGAAAAUCUAGGCAAGGCAAUAACUGGACCGUUAUACUUCUCAAAGCUUCAUCUGACAAAGCCAAUCUGCAUCCUGCUACUUUAUUCAUGCAAUUAUCGGUCUACAUUAAACUGUAACAACUUAUUUCUGUAGCUAAGAUUGUGUUUACUAAUUAGCCUAACAGCUGCAUUGUAGCACAGUCGAGUAAAUGGAUUGUAAUAUAUCUAACAGCUGCUCAUAAGUAAAUACGUAGAUCUUUUUUUUUUAUUAAAAAAAAUGAAUGAUAAAGUG